UAUGUAGUUUAUUUAUUUGUAAACAUAUGUAAAUAGAAUUUUCCACGGUGAACUUCAUUAUUUUAAAACAAGAUCAUUUUCAUUGGCGGUAAUGAGGUUUAAAGAUAAAUAUUGUGUUAGGAAUAGGCUUAAUAUUCCCUGUCACAAAAAAAAAAUACUUUUGAAAACAUUACCCAGAAUACAUCAGUUUUUAAAAUGAUAGAUUGAAUAUUUUGAAAGUAAUACUGAGGAAAAGUUGCAAAUACUGUGCAUUCAUUAUUAUUCGUUGGGUACCAAUUUUCAUUGUUUUCGUAGGUAAAGGUGAACCACAAAUUCAAAUGAUCAACGAAUUACAUAUUUUCUAUAGGAUGAGUAUGCAGAGUUGAGUAAAACAACAAAAUCAGAUACCCUUGAAGUUUUCUUCAAUCCAUGAAAAUUGAUACCCAGGAAAAUAAAUGAAUCCACAGUACAUGUAUAAAAGCAGUUAUAGCGCUUAUCUGUUCCAUGAAUCAGUGAAAUGUUUUCUUGUUUUGUUUUGAUGUGUUCUUUGAUUAAUGUAUCAUUGAUGUUUAACCUUCAGCCUUUUUCAUUAUAAAGAAAAUGCAACUAUUAAAGGAAUCUAUUGGUAGUUGACAUUAAUGUAUGUCAUUGUUCUAUAAAUGGUAGGUCAUUGUUAGAUUCUUCUUUUAUCUGUUAUAAACAGUCAUUAGAGAAAUAUUGCUGUAAUACAUAUGGAAAAUGGUAUGACUUUUAUGUUAGACAAUCAUUUCAUUUGAAUGAAGGAAUCAAUACAUUUAGACUUAAUGUUUUAAUUCAGAUCAUUAGUGGUGAUAUAUUGAACAUACUAUUCUCACAGUAAGAUUUUAGAUGACUUACAAUAUCUUAGAGUUAUGAUAGGAAACAAAAAAUAUUCUGUACAUUUCUGACAUCUAAUAAAUAAUGUAAUAGAAAAUAUGCUUUACAUCACAUACUUGAUUGAUUAAUUUUCAAAUUUGUUUAAUAUUUUUUUAUAUGGUCCUAAGCUAAUUGCAUAGAAGUUUUAAGAAUGAUUUAGCCUCGUUGAAAAAUGAUAGUAGAGAUUAAGACAAAAGAUAUUCAAUUUUAAUAAUAAAUUAAGGAAUUAUUUGUGACUGAGAAUUCUUAUGUAUUUAUCUCAUGCUUAUAGUUUUAUAAGAA
rnacentral:lncRNA from 1 species